rnacentral:rRNA from 1 species
UACGUAGGUGGCAAGCGUUGUCCGGAGUUAUUGGGCGUAAAGCGCGCGCAGGCGGUGCGGUAAGUCUCUGGUGAAAGCGCUCGGCUUAACUGGGCGAGGGCCGGGGAGACUGCCACGCUGGAGGGGAGCAGAGGCGAGUGGAAUUCCGGGUGUAGUGGUGAAAUGCGUAGAGAUCCGGAGGAACACCAGUGGCGAAGGCGGCUCGCUGGGCUCUACCUGACGCUGAGGCGCGAAAGCGUGGGGAGCAAACAGG